AACCAUGGGAAACGAUGCUAAAUACCGCAUGAUGCNUACGGGCCAAAGAGGGGGACUUUCGGGCCUCUCGCGUCAGGAUAUGCCUAGGUGGGAUUAGCUAGUUGGUGAGGUAAGGGCUCACCAAGGCGACGAUCCCUAGCUGGUCUGAGAGGAUGAUCAGCCACACUGGAACUGAGACACGGUCCAGACUCCUACGGGAGGCAGCAGUGGGGAAUAUUGCACAAUGGGCGCAAGCCUGAUGCAGCCAUGCCGCGUGUGUGAAGAAGGCCUUCGGGUUGUAAAGCACUUUCAGUCGUGAGGAAGGUAGUGUAGUUAAUAGCUGCAUUAUUUGACGUUAGCGACAGAAGAAGCACCGGCUAACUCCGUGCCAGCAGCCGCGGUAAUACGGAGGGUGCGAGCGUUAAUCGGAAUUACUGGGCGUAAAGCGCAUGCAGGUGGUUUGUUAAGUCAGAUGUGAAAGCCCGGGGCUCAACCUCGGAAUAGCAUUUGAAACUGGCAGACUAGAGUACUGUAGAGGGGGGUAGAAUUUCAGGUGUAGCGGUGAAAUGCGUAGAGAUCUGAAGGAAUACCGGUGGCGAAGGCGGCCCCCUGGACAGAUACUGACACUCAGAUGCGAAAGCGUGGGGAGCAAACAGGAUUAGAUACCCUGGUAGUCCACGCCGUAAACGAUGUCUACUUGGAGGUUGUGGCCUUGAGCCGUGGCUUUCGGAGCUAACGCGUUAAGUAGACCGCCUGGGGAGUACGGUCGCAAGAUUAAAACUCAAAUGAAUUGACGGGGGCCCGCACAAGCGGUGGAGCAUGUGGUUUAAUUCGAUGCAACGCGAAGAACCUUACCUACUCUUGACAUCCAGAGAACUUUCCAGAGAUGGAUUGGUGCCUUCGGGAACUCUGAGACAGGUGCUGCAUGGC
rnacentral:rRNA from 1 species